AUUGUCAUUGGACUCAGAGUCACCGGCUGAAGCACUCCCUCUGUCUGCGGGCCCUGGCUCCCCUCUUCCCUCCCACACCAUCUGUGCACUGCCUUGCCAGCUCUUCUGCAAAGAAAUUUGCAUCAUGCACAGUGGGAGGGCUCCUCGGGACAGCUCCACUGAGCCAUGGUCUGUCCGGCUGCUCCCCGGCUGCUCCUGGCCGUGACUCUCCUACUGGGGUCAGUGGUCGCCCCAGCAUCCCAGCCUGUGCAGGGUCAGGCUGGAGGGGGACCUGGGCAGCAGCUGGACCGCCAGAGUGGAGCAGGGGAAUCCAUCCUGGUCUCUGUCUACGUCCAACUGGAAUUUUCAGACAAGACCUGGCCACUAGACCUAGCUCUUCCUCCUGCCUCUGCCGCUUCCUCCCCUAGAAAUCUCACGGGCCUCAGCAUCACCACAGGUACCAGUCGCGGGGAGGGGCUCAGAGUGCAUGAGCAUGGACUUGCUGGGAGCCCCUCCCUGAUUCCUGGGGCUGCCUGGUUCUGGCUCCCCCACCCAGCUCCUUCCCCACCUCCCUACCAGACAGGCCCCUCCCUUCCCGUUCACACCCUG
rnacentral:lncRNA from 1 species